rnacentral:ncRNA from 2 species
AUCUUAUCUGGAGAGGUGGAGGGACUGGCCCUUUGAAACCCAGCAACCAUCCUUUUUAGGAACGGUGCUAAUUCCUGCAAGGCGUGAGCUUUGAAUGAUAAGAG